GGGCCCGCACAAGCGGUGGAGCAUGUGGUUUAAUUCGAUGAUACGCGAGGAACCUUACCAGGACUUAAAUGUAAGUUGCAUGAUUCAGAAAUGAAUCUUUCUUCGGACUACUUACAAGGUGCUGCAUGGUUGUCGUCAGCUCGUGCCGUGAGGUGUCAGGUUAAGUCCUAUAACGAGCGCAACCCCCUAUCGUUAGUUGCCAUCAAGUAAAGUUGGGGAACUCUAGCGAAACUGCCGUGCAAACCGAGAGGAAGGUGGGGAUGACGUCAAAUCAUCACGGCCCCUUACGUUCUGGGGCUACACACGUGCUACAAUGGUCGGUACAGAAAGCAGCCACUAUGCGAAUAGGAGCU
rnacentral:rRNA from 1 species